CCUACGGGAGACAGCAGUGAGGAAUAUUGGUCAAUGGACGAGAGUCUGAACCAGCCAAGUAGCGUGAAGGAUGACUGCCCUAUGGGUUGUAAACUUCUUUUAUAUGGGAAUAAAACGUUCCACGUGUGGGAUUUUGUAUGUACCAUAUGAAUAAGGAUCGGCUAACUCCGUGCCAGCAGCCGCGGUAAUACGGAGGAUCCGAGCGUUAUCCGGAUUUAUUGGGUUUAAAGGGAGCGUAGGUGGAUUGUUAAGUCAGUUGUGAAAGUUUGCGGCUCAACCGUAAAAUUGCAGUUGAAACUGGCAGUCUUGAGUACAGUAGAGGUGGGCGGAAUGCGUGGUGUAGCGGUGAAAUGCUUAGAUAUCACGAAGAACUCCGAUUGCGAAGGCAGUUCACUGGACUGCAACUGACACUGAGGCUCGAAAGUGUGGGUAUCAAACAGGAUUAGAUACCCGAGAAGUC
rnacentral:rRNA from 1 species